UCACCCCUUUUCUUCUUCGAUGCCUUCCUGUAUCUUCGGCCGUACGUAAGGGACCCUUGUGCGCUUUCCAAGUAUGAUACGAAGAAAGCCAACCUCACCGCAGCAUAAAGAGGUACGCGUGCGCGUGAAGAAGAGCAAGCCAAAGCCACAUAAGUCCACGGCUGCAUACUCAAGCUCUGCAGGGAAGAGCGUCGGAAAGGCAGCAGGGACUGAGAAACGCCCCUGUGGCACGGCUCCAGUAGGUGAAGCAGCUGAUACCAGGGAUGCCGUAAGCGCUGUGUGGAGUGCGAGCGCUGCAAAACACGGCUGGGAGCCGCAGCACACAAAGGUACAUUGCCGAAGAGGCACGGCUGGCAUGCCGUUUGAUCGCUACGACCUGGCGGGCACCGCGAAUAUCAACGAGCUCGUCCUCCGACACGGCACCAUGAAGACGUCUGAUCUCAAAACUACUCGGCACCCAGCUCUGUACCAGCGAGUGGGACGGCCGCACGAUUGCUCCUCCUCGCCCUUCAUGCUGGACCGCUACCUUUCCAACCUCGUGCGCGCGCUUGUUCACCCCUUGCACAACUAUCUUCAGUGUCAUCACAGCCUGCACAAUGCAGACGAAGUGCAGGUGAUGCUCAUGCCGAAGGAUGGGCCGAUAGCUCUUGCCGACAGGGCAGCCGUGCCGUCCUGCUCCUCAUCGUCCCAUGGAGGCAGCGGCGCUCUAAGGCGCUGCUACGUUGCCACGAACAACGAAACGCUCACGCAAGAGAGUCUCCAGGCAGCCGUCGCUGAUUGGGGUGUCGCAGGGGUGUUUCAGAUUGGUGAGUUCGUGCUGGUGACUGGGGAGAAGGGCUGCCACGCGGAGAAGAAGCUGCUCGAGCACUUAAAAACCCAAGUGCUCUCCCACGCCGCCCCUCCGGUUCUUCCCACGGCAGACCAGAAGGCGCUUAUUGUUGGCGAGCGACUCCCAUGCGUCGCGUGCCGGCUCUUCGCGAUCGCAUUUGAAUCUGUUGCAGUGCUGCUCCCGUCCCACGGGCACCUUUACCUCUCCACCAUCGCCGCCGGCGUCGAGACACACGCGGCAGCCAAGAGUGGAAAGACAAAGGACAUUAAUGCCAUGUUCGCCAGCCCGGCGGAGGCGGCGGCGCUCCUCCUGGCACCAAAACACCGAAGAGUACUUCGGUAGAAAAAAGGAUACCGGCCAGCCGCCGGCGCUGCCCCCGCGGCCAAAAAAAAACGCGCUGGGCCUCACCGACAUGCCCCCCGCCCUGGCGGCGCGCCACCCUCGGCGGCCCGCCAAACGGGCCCCGCGAAGCCGGGACAACCCCCGCAAGCGGCACUCAGCCCAGGGAGAAACAAAGCCGCCAAGGCCCCGGGGCGCGAAGCAGACGGAGGAUAGGAGAAAGUGGAGGAAGGGCCGGGGAGCCAAGCACGCCACCUGCGCAACACGCGGCGAGCCACCCCUGCGCGGCCGCCCUUUUGUUUUGGCGCCCCGAAUAAAGGGCGCAGAGCAACUGUUUUUUUUUUGUUUUU
rnacentral:misc_RNA from 1 species